rnacentral:lncRNA from 1 species
UUUUCCCUUAGCAAGUGGAAGGUGUGCAGGCAGAGAUGAGAUCGGUGUGUGCUCAGUUCUUUUAUUUCAGACUUUUUUUAGCAUAAGUCAAGCAGCUUUGAAUAAUUCUCCUUUGACUCAUUAACUGUCAAAAGCAAAUGUAGAUGGGAGGCAUAAAACUGUUUCUUUCAGAAAAGAAGAAUAUAGCUGCAAUAUAGUCUUUCUCCAUAUGGAAGCAUCCUUAAGAAGAAUCCAGGCUUAUACAUAAGCAGGCGCUGACACAUUACAUGAUGUAUUUAUAAUAAGACAGGGAAAUAUAUAGAGAACAUUUCAGUUGCCUAAACAUGAAGUGCCAUUUGAGAUAUGGUUGACUCAUCUCAUCUCCUGGUACCUCACCAGGUCUCCAGCUUGUGACCCAGGGGAGUUUUGUCAUAUCUUGUGUAAACGUACCACCUGUCCUAGGAUAUCUCAAACAGCACAAGAUACUUACGCUUAGACUCAUCUACAUGAGGUAAGCCCAGACUAUGCCUCAUGGAAGAUACUGUGAGCAUUUUGGAGUGGAUGGUGGUAAAUGAGUGCUUAAAAUGGAGAAGGCAAGCUUUCUCCCUGACUUCUGCAUGUGCUGCUGCGGUUUGGGAAGGAGAUGGCAACCAACAGAGGUGAGCAAUAGAAAGGCUGAUUUUCUUAAAAUCUUGGGGGGGAGGGUGUGGAGGGGGCGGUUGGAAUUCACCUGAGGGUGCUGGCGCAGUGACUCUGAGGCUGCUGUCUGUCAUUUAUCAAAACUCAUGACGGUGAGGGAGUCAGGGAAGCCAGACUGGGUACCCCCACCCCAUCCUGCAUUCGCAAUGGAUGGCUUUCUUGGCAAGGGUUUGCUCUCGUCUCCUUGCGUGGAUCCUCAACUGAGCGAUUUAGUACCAUGAAUAAUAAUUUCUUGUGGUUCUUUUCUUCCCCCAAGCCCACGUAUUGCUCUUUGGAUUUUUCAGUGACUCAUUUCUAAUAGACCAAGACUGUUGGAGUUACAGUUUAGUGACAAGAUAUGUGAGUUUUGGUUGAUUUCUCCUAACACAGGUAGGUCUAGGAAAUGUUAUCUUUUGAAGGGAGAGACUGGAUUUUUGCCUUCACAGGCUCUUUACAGUGAUCCUAAUUAGAUCCUUCCUUAGAAUUAGCAGACUGCUACAACAAUUGAGUAGCCCAAACUGGAAUAGAUUUUACUUUUUAACAUGCAAGUUGAACAUCAGAUGUGGGGUGUUUCUGAUGUAAUCUGGGCCUUAUGGAGGCAAGGAGCGAUUGUUAGCUGAGUUGGAUUAUUUGAAUUAAUAGAUCUUAUGCACACUUUAAAAUUUCUUAUGGCUUCUUUCACACUUACCUGGAAAGCCUUAUCCAGGCCACUUGAACAGCAUCACAAAAUCUUUUUGUGGCAU